UAGGGAAUCUUCCACAAUGGACGCAAGUCUGAUGGAGCAACGCCGCGUGAGUGAAGAAGGUUUUCGGACCGUAAAGCUCUGUUGUUGGUGAAGAAGGAUAGAGGUAGUAACUGGCCUUUAUUUGACGGUAAUCAACCAGAAAGUCACGGCUAACUACGUGCCAGCAGCCGCGGUAAUACGUAGGUGGCAAGCGUUGUCCGGAUUUAUUGGGCGUAAAGCGAGCGCAGGCGGAAGAAUAAGUCUGAUGUGAAAGCCCUCGGCUUAACCGAGGAAUUGCAUCGGAAACUGUUUUCUUGAGUGCAGAAGAGGAGAGUAGAACUCCAUGUGUAGCGGUGGAAUGCGUAGAUAUAUGGAAAAAUACCAGUGGCGAAGGCGGCUCUCUGGUCUGCAACUGACGCUGAGGCUCGAAAGCAUGGGUAGCGAACAGGAUUAGAUACCCUGGUAGUCCAUGCCGUAAACGAUGAGUGCUAAGUGUUGGGAGGCUUCCGCCUCUCAGUGCUGCAGCUAACGCAUUAAGCACUCCGCCUGGGGGAGUACGACCGCAAGGUUGAAAC
rnacentral:rRNA from 1 species